rnacentral:rRNA from 1 species
UGCGUAGGUGGCUAAUUAAGUCAGUGGUGAAAGCCUGCAGCUCAACUGUAGAGGUGCCAUUGAUACUGAUUAGCUUGAGUAUGGACGAGGUAGGCGGAAUUUGUGGUGUAGCGGUGAAAUGCAUAGAUACCACAAAGAACACCGAUAGCGAAGGCAGCUUACUGGACCAUAACUGACACUGAGGCACGAAAGCGUGGGGAGCGAACAGGAUUAGAUACCCUGGUAGUCC